CCAGAUGGGCGAAGCGGCAAAGGGCGCACCCAGAACCCUUUGUGAACUUAUACCUUUUGUUGCCUCGGCGCUGCUGGUCUUCACAGGCCCUUUGCUUCACAGCAAAGAGACGGCACGCCGGCGGCCAAGUUAACUCUUGUUUUUACACUGAAACUCUGAGAAAAAACACAAAUGAAUCAAAACUUUCAACAACGGAUCUCUUGGUUCUGGCAUCGAUGAAGAACGCAGCGAAAUGCGAUAAGUAAUGUGAAUUGCAGAAUUCAGUGAAUCAUCGAAUCUUUGAACGCACAUUGCGCCCUCUGGUAUUCCGGAGGGCAUGCCUGUUCGAGCGUCAUUUCAACCCUCAAGCAUUGCUUGGUGUUGGGGCACUGCUUUUUACCGAGCAGGCCCUGAAAUCUAGUGGCGAGCUCGCCAGGACCCCGAGCGCAGUAGUUAAACCCUCGCUCUGGAAGGCCCUGGCGGUGCCCUGCCGUUAAACCCCCAACUUCUGAAAAUUUGACCUCGGAUCAGGUAGGAAUACCCGCUGAACUUAAGCAUAUCAAUAAGCGGAGGAAAUAUUGCUGGAACGCGCCCCAGGCGCACCAAAAAACCUUUGUGAACUUAUACCUUUUGUUGCCUCGGCGCUGCUGGGUCUUCAAGGCCUUUUGCUUCCGCAAAAAGACGGCCCCGCCGACAGUUAUAAUCUAGUUUUUUACACGAAAACUCUGAAAAAAAAACAAAUGAAUCAAAACUUUCAACAACGAAUCUCUGGGUUCUGGCAUCGAUGAAAAAAGCAGCGAAUGCGAUAAGUAAUGUGAAUCUGCAGAAAUCAGUGAAUCAUCGAAUCUUUGAACGCACAUUGCGCCUCUGGUAAUUCGGAAGGGCAUGCCUGUUCGAGCGUUCAUUUCAACCCUCAGACAUUGCUUGGGUGGUUUGGGCACUGCUUUUUUACGAGCACGCCCAGAAAAUUAGUGGGCGAGUCUUCCCGGACCACAAACACAAUAUUUUAAACCUUCGCUUGAGAAGAUCCUCGGGCCUGCCUGCGCCUUUACAACAACG
rnacentral:rRNA from 1 species